rnacentral:lncRNA from 1 species
CUUUUGUUGCUUUGAAUAGAAUAUACACUGCACUGUGCAUCUAAUGGUUUCCUGUGGCAUGCCUCCCAGAUGCUAGGCACUGUGCUAGAGCAUAAGGGAAAAAAAACCCCACAAAAAACCCAGAGAAGAACUCAGCACUUUGGAGCAACUGAAAGCAGCUUUGAAUUACAGGGAAGUCUAGAACAGAGAGUGCGAGUGCGCAGCUGUGAACUGAAAAGACUAGCCCUGAGCUAACAUCUGCCACCAAUUCUCCUCUUUUUGCUGAAGAAGACUGGCCCUGAGCUAACAUCCAUGCCCAACUUCCUCUACCUUAUAUGUGGGACGCCUACCACAGCAUGGCUUGCCAAGUGGUGCCGUGUCCGCACCCGGGGUCCGCACCUGGGAUCCGAACCGGCGAACCCCGGGCUGCCGAAGUGGAACAUGAGAACUUAACUGCUGCACCACUGGGCCAGCC